rnacentral:rRNA from 1 species
GAUGAACGCUGGCGGCGUGCCUAAUACAUGCAAGUCGAGCGAACGGACGAGAAGCUUGCUUCUCUGAUGUUAGCGGCGGACGGGUGAGUAACACGUGGAUAACCUACCUAUAAGACUGGGAUAACUUCGGGAAACCGGAGCUAAUACCGGAUGAUAUUUUGAACCGCAUGGUUCAAAAGUGAAAGACGGUCCUGCUGUCACUUAUAGAUGGAUCCGCGCUGCAUUAGCUAGUUGGUAAUGUAACGGCUUACCAAGGCAACGAUGCAUAGCCGACCUGAGAGGGUGAUCGGCCACACUGGAACUGAGACACGGUCCAGACUCCUACGGGAGGCAGCAGUAGGGAAUCUUCCGCAAUGGGCGAAAGCCUGACGGAGCAACGCCGCGUGAGUGAUGAAGGUCUUCGGAUCGUAAAACUCUGUUAUUAGGGAAGAACAUAUGUGUAAGUAACUGUGCACAUCUUGACGGUACCUAAUCAGAAAGCCACGGCUAACUACGUG